GAUGAACGCUGGCGGCGUGCCUAAUACAUGCCAGUCGAGCGAACGGACGAGAAGCUUGCUUCUCUGAUGUUAGCGGCGGACGGGUGAGUAACACGUGGAUAACCUACCUAUAAGACUGGGAUAACUUCGGGAAACCGGAGCUAAUACCGGAUGAUAUUUUGAACCGCAUGGUUCAAAAGUGAAAGACGGUCUUGCUGUCACUUAUAGAUGGAUCCGCGCUGCAUUAGCUAGUUGGUAAGGUAACGGCUUACCAAGGCAACGAUGCAUAGCCGACCUGAGAGGGUGAUCGGCCACACUGGAACUGGGACACGGUCCAGACUCCUACGGGAGGCAGCAGUAGGGAAUCUUCCGCAAUGGGCGAAAGCCUGACGGAGCAACGCCGCGUGAGUGAUGAAGGUCUUCGGAUCGUAAAACUCUGUUAUUAGGGAAGAACAUAUUUGUAAGUAACUGUGCACAUCUUGACGGUACCUAAUCAGAAAGCCACGGCUAACUACGUG
rnacentral:rRNA from 1 species